UUGGAGGGCAAGUCUGGUGCCAGCAGCCGCGGUAAUUCCAGCUCCAAUAGCGUAUAUUAAAGUUGUUGCAGUUAAAAAGCUCGUAGUUGAAUUUCGGGAUUAGUACGCUGGUCGUGCCUUCGGUACGUACUGGUGUUACUGAUUCCUACCUUCUGACGAACCAUGAUGUCAUUUAUUUGGUGUCGUGGGGAAUCAGGACUGUUACUUUGAAAAAAUUAGAGUGUUUAAAGCAGGCUCACGCUUGAAUACAUUAGCAUGGAAUAAUGAAAUAGGACGUUUGAUUCUAUUUUGUUGGUUUCUAGGAUCGACGUAAUGAUUAAUAGGGAUAGUUGGGGGCAUUAGUAUUCAAUUGUCAGAGGUGAAAUUCUUGGAUUUAUUGAAGACUAACUACUGCGAAAGCAUUUGCCAAGGAUGUUUUCAUUAAUCAAGAACGAAAGUUAGGGGAUCGAAGACGAUCAGAUACCGUCGUAGUCUUAACCAUAAACUAUGCCGACUAGGGAUCGGAUGAUGUUAUUUUUAAUGACUCAUUCGGCGCCUUACGGGAAAC
rnacentral:rRNA from 1 species